GACUGCGUAGUUCAGUUGGCAGAGCAUUGGGCUAGUAUUCCAAAGGUCGUAGGUUCGAAUCCCACCGUGGCCA
rnacentral:tRNA from 1 species